AGCCCACCCUUGGAGAACCACUGGGCUAUAGAAUGAUGUCAAGGGCUGGAGAGGGAGGCUACAGAGUGGGUCUAGGUCCAGGUACAGUCUCAGAACCACACUGCAAAACUGGCUUAGUCAGGUAGCUGCUGUAUCUGCUGCUUCCACUGUGAACUCAAAAACCACAUUGCCUGUGCUGCAGGCCGGAAAGCUGCUGAACCAGGAAGCUGUGCUGAUGCUGCUGACUGCCCCUGAGGUUAGAGAUUGACUAGACAUAGUGCCACUGUCAUCCCUGCUGGAGAAGGUCCGAAGCACCUCCACCUCUGUGCUUCCAGAGGGGCACUGUGGUGGCCACUUAAAAUGCUCAGGCUAUACCAUGCACUAGAGCAUCUACCUGGGCAAGGGAUAUGCUGUAUGACACUCUCCUGAUGCUGGGCAUGGCUGUGAGCCAAAGCACCCAGGCAGCCCUGCCAUCAGAAGGGUAAACCACGGACACCUGAUGCCUUCCUGAAGGAAGAGCACUACGCCUGCCAAACCAUCAAGCGUUGAUGCUCCAGCGCCUUCUACCCGUGGUUCUCCAGCCUCAGCAGAAGAGAGAGAAAUUGAUGACCCUGUCGUUGUAGCAUCCCCAUCACCCAGCAAUUAAUUUUAGUUCAAUGCUUCAAACGCUCUUCAGGCGCAGUGUGCGUUCAGCUGUGUCAGCUAAUGCAAAUGGGGGAUCUCAGAAGUCUUAAUGAAGUAACUAUCCCUGAACACUGGGAUCAAUACUCAGCAUCCAGCUGUCAAAUCAACACCAAGCGUUUCACUCGUCGCCCAGCCUAGAGUGCAAUGGCGCUAUUUCGGCUCAUUAUAACCUCCGCCUCCCGGGUUCAAGCAAUUCUUCUGCUUCAGCGUCCCAAGUAGCUGGGAUUACAGGUGAGCACCAUCAUGCCUGGCUAAUUUUGUAUUUUUAGUGGAGAUGGGGUUUCACCAUACUGGCCAGGCCGGUUUCAAACUCCUGACCUCAGGCGAUCCGCCCUCCUUGGCCUCCCAAAGUGCUGGGAUUACAGGGAUGAGCCACCACCGCGCCCGGCCUUGAUGUACUUUUUCUAUUAAAUGAUCUAAGAACAAUUUUACGGGCAGAAAGUAUGACUGUAAUAAAUGUAUGCAAUCCAAAACUACCACCCACCAUCUAUGAAAAUACAAAAAUCAAGCUGUCAUGCCAAAUCUAACUGGUUACUUCUGUUUCUCUGCUAAUAGUCGUUAGCUACACUCAUUUAUUUGUUUUAUUGUGACAGUGUCCACUGUCAGAUAAGUAAGAGCAGGUGCUGAAAUUUUAAGAAACAUUUGAGGGAACAUUUUCAAUGGAAUCUGUUGAAGUUGAGGUGCCUUUAGUACACUAGUAUAACUGCAUCACCCCUGAGUGUUAGCGAUAAGUGCAAUGAUUUAAUUUUACUGUGGAACUCCCAAGUCCAGCUUAUGGAAUAAAUUCCGGAUCAUAGUUUGAGAACUACUGGCUUAAAGGGUCCCAUUUCUUGCUUCUUUAAGUGUCAAACAGUGACUGUGAGAUAUAUAUAUAUAUAUAUAUAUAUAUUCCUGGCCCAAGUGAUGGGCAAGCUUCAAAGCAGUUGAGGACUCCAGUCAAAACUAACUGUGCCCCCUGAGUGUUCUAGCUCUGAGGAUUUGGUCCCUGGCUUCUUCCUUCAAUCUGCACCAUCAAGAAGCAUUCUUGGCCAGGUGCAGUGCCUCACACCUGUAAUCCCAGCACUUUGGGAGGCCGAAGUGGGUGGGUCACUUGAGGUCAGGAGUUUGAGACCAGCCUGGCCAACAUGGUGAAACCUCAUCUCUAACUAAAAAUACCAAAAUUAGCUGGGAGUGAUGGCCUAUGCCUGUAAUCCCAGCUACUCAGGAGGCUGAGGCACAAGAACUGCUUGAACCUGGUAAGAGGAGGUUGCAGUGAGCCGAGAUCAUACCACUGCACUCCAGCCUGGCCAACUGAACGAGACUCUGUCUCAGAGAAAGAAAAAAAGAAAAAAAAUCUUCUAGGCUCUGCACAUAGGCCAUGUGCUAAAAUCAGCAUUCCAAGGGCCAGAAGGACUCCUAGAGGCAUCUUUCAGAUGCUGACACUAGUUCAGAGCCUCACAGAUAGCUCCAGUUUCUGCCUAAGUACCUUCAGGGACUGGGAGCUCACUACUUCCCCCAAAAAAGGUUCUUAUGAACCAUCAUCUCCUAUCUCCACCCUCUAAAACCACCCAGUUCUUAACUUCUGCUUUGUUUUUGCUAUCAGCACUCUCUGCCUUGUAUUGUUGUUAUUUGGAUACUUAACUGUCACACAGUGGUAAGGGCUUAGGUUUUGGAACCACUUGCAUUAGAAUCCCAGCUCCGUAUUUAUCUCCACCAUUUACCAGCCAUGUGACCUUGGCAAAUUACUUAACCUCUCUGAGCCUCAGUUAUCGCCUAUAUGGGAUGGGAAUAACCUUAGGGUCUAUUUCAAGGAUUAUUCGGAGGCCUAAGGUAAUGGGAGGAAUCUGCUUGACAUGUAGAAAGCUCUCAGUACAGCAUAGAUAUUAUUAUUAUUCCUCUGCUAGACUACAAAAUCUCUGAGGGCAGGGACCUCUUCUUGGAUAUCUUUGAACCCCUCCAUAACAGUGGGCAAAGUGUCUGUCAGAGGGUUUUAAUGAAUGCAUCACACAAAAGAGACCGUACUGAACAAGAGAGACAGGAAGCUUGGAUAAUUAUUUGAAUAUCUACAGUCAUCAGAAGGCUUAUAAAUGUAAAGCCAAAGCUCCUGCCAAAGAAAUGUGUGGAGCAGAAAAGAAAACCCAGAGCAGAAUGUCAAGAGCAAGGAUGUGUUGGGACAGGAAAUGAAGACGAGAUUGGGAGAGGUCAUGCAGAAUCAGGUCACAUUCUGGAGGGAAGAAGGAGCAAAGGCACAUGAUGAGAGAGUGCUAAUUAAGGUGGCCAAAGAGAACAGUGUGGUGCUGUAAAUGCCGGCAGAGCAAGGAGCCCUGCUGCCAGCCUGACCCAACACAGUCACGUUGAUGAAAAUGGAAAAGGAUGGCUGGAGGCCUUCAGUUGCAAAGUUCUCCAUUGUCAGAUUACGCUGCCUGAUGGGCAUGAAAAGUCCACAAAAGAGAAUUUUCUGAUGUGAGAAUGGAGGGUGUUGCCUGCAACUACCCCAGAUCCCUGCGGUGGCAGUUUAAGCCGCCUCCUGGAGCAGAUUGUUAAGCUGAUGCGAGUCUGGGCUCUGCCUCACCACUUGUCUCAGAGACAGAGUCUUGCUCUGUCACCUAGGCUGGAGUGCAGUGGUGCCAUCACAGCUCACUGCAGCCUCGACCUCCCCGUGCUCAAGUGAUCCUCACACCUCAGCCUCCCGAGUAGCCGCGAUCACAAGUUAAACAAACACAGUUCUUUACAUCAAUGCUUCCGUCCCUGGCCAUCUGGUCUCCUGUCCCCUCCAGACCCAAAACCAUGGGCUGGGCUGCAGCAAAAUGAGGGUGUACUCAGUGCACUGAGGCCCAUGUACCAUGAGAGAUGGUGAGAGAAAGCCUUGGCCGGAGUUUAAGGAUUUGGGGCUGGGCACAGUGGCUCGUGCCUGUAAUCCUAGCACUUUGGGAGGCCAAGGCAGGAGGAUCACUUGAGGCCAAGAGUUUGAGACCAGCCUGAGCAACAUAGUGAGACUCUCAUUUCUAAAAAUAAAAAAGUUAGGCCUGGCACAGUGGCUCAUGCCUAUAAUCCCAGCAGUUUGGGAAGCUGAAUCAAGAGGAUCACUUGAGGCCAGGAGUUUGAGCCCAGCCUGGUCAACAUAGUGAGACUUUAUCACUACAAAAAGUUUUUAUUUAUUUAUUUUUUUUGAGACAGGGUCUCGAUUCAUCACUUAGGCUGGAGUGGAGUGUGCAAUCACAGCUCACAGCUCACAGCAGCCUCGACCUCCUGGGUUCAAGCCAUCCUCCCACCUCAGCCUCCUGAGUAGCUGGGACUACAGGCAUACACCACCAUGUCUGGCUAAAUUUUUGUACUUUUUGUAGAGACAGGGUUUCGCCAUGUUGCCCAGGCUGGUCUCUAGCUCCUGGGCUCAAGCAAUCUGCCUGCCUCAGCCUCCCAGAGGCCUGGAACUACAGGCGUGAGCCGCUGCUCUUGGCCAUUUUUAAUUUAAGAGACAGAGUCUCGCUUUGUUACCCAGGCUGGAGUGCAGUACCCUUACUGCAGCCUUGAACUACUGGGCUCAAGCCAUCCUCCCACCUCAGCCUCUCAAGUAGCUGGGACUACAGGUGUGUGUCCCCAUGCCCAGCUGACUGAGCUACCACCAUGCCACUGCAUGCCAGUUGUGACAAAGUGAGACCCUGUCUCUAAAAAAUAAUUAAAUAAAAUGUUUAAUGGUGUUCUGGGUCCUUACUUCAUGGACACUUUCCACUAUGCAGCCUGCCACUGAUUUCAUGUAAAGGCAAAACCAAAAGAGAUCCUUUGCUAAAUUA
rnacentral:lncRNA from 10 species